rnacentral:rRNA from 1 species
UACAGAGGUCUCAAGCGUUGUUCGGAUUCAUUGGGCGUAAAGGGUGUGUAGGUGGCGCCGUAAGUCGGGUGUGAAAUUUCGGAGCUUAACUCCGAAACUGCAUUCGAUACUGCGGUGCUUGAGGACUGGAGAGGAGACUGGAAUUCAUGGUGUAGCAGUGAAAUGCGUAGAGAUCAGGAGGAAUACCGAUGGCGAAGGCAGGUCUCUGGGCUGACACUGACGCUCAUGCACGAAAGCGUGGGGAGCAAACAGG